UAACAGUACAGUAAUUCAAAUACGUAAUUGACUGAUGAAUUAGAUAGGCCUAUGGUAUAUGUAUUAAUAAAUUUAUUCUGUAUGCUGGCAAAGAAUGGUACAGAGACAAGAAGACUGGAGGUACGAUUUCACUGCUAGAUGUGGAUUCAAGAUGAAUGCAAGAUUCACCUGAUAAUGAUUACGAUAUGAAGAGAAGAGUUGACUGAAAGAUACAGGAAACUAAUGUUUUAAUGUUAUUCAACCACAAUGAAAAAUAUAUUUUAUAUUAUAAUAAUCAUAAAAAAAUGAAGUCAACGCUCUGUAACGCCAUCUACUGUGAACCCAUCUGCAAGAAGCCGAGAUGCUAUUAAGAUUUAUUUUAAAUGUAAUCAAAGUAUUAGAAAUGUAUCAGUAAUGUCAACAUAUGAAGACAAUAUCUUUAAUACAGUACAGUAAUUCAAAUACGUAAUUGAUUGAUGAAUUAGAUAGGCCUAUGGUAUAUGUAUUAAUAAAUUUAUGCUGUAUGCCGGCAAAGAAUGGUACAGAGACAAGAAGACUGGAGGUAAGUGGGUUGGUUAUUUACUCAAAGAUCUUAUAACAAAAUAAAAAAUAGCGCUCUCACCUAUUUGUAAGCGUAAUGCAUGAAAGACUCGUAAAACUGCCCCUUCUGCAAAAAAUCAUACAAAGCAAAACUUAUUUACUGUACUGAAUUUUAUAUAUGGCGCUCCCUCCAAAAACCUAUCUGUACUCGGGAAGGGGGGGGGGGCAAAAUUUUCAAGGAACUGGGAAAGAAAUUGAAAAGCCAAAUUUGUUUUACUAAAUUUUAUAUAGCCCUCCCUUAAAAAAAUGAAAAAUGCAAAGCCAAAUUAGUUUACUGAGUUUUAUAUAGAGUUCAUUACAAAAACCUUAUUUGUACACAUGCACUAAAAUCUUUCAUUGACAAUCUGAGAAAAAGUGACUGAAACUUUCAUAAAACUGCUCCCUGUGCAAAGAAAUGUGUACGAAGCCAAUUUUGUUUACUAAAUUAAGAUAUGGUUCCUCCAAUAAUUUGUUAGUUGGAUAAUUAAUGGGAAAUUUCAUGAGACUGCCAAAAAAUUGUCUACUUUAUUUUAUAUAGCGCUCCCUCCAAAAGUUAUUUGUACGCAUAAUGAAAUCCGAACUGCAUGUUGCAAAAAUAUAUUGCGAGUUUGUUACAAGAUCUUUGAGCUACAUUGCAUUAGGUGCCCCUAAAUUAAAUGAGGGCGCUGUUGACGAUAAAGAGCGCCCUCUAUGGAGAAAGAGCACUUUAACGUGAGCAGUGCCUCAUUUGAUUUGGGGGCGCUAUUUAAUGCAGGAACCCUCUAAAUAAAAUGAGGGAUUUUAUUUAGGCGGUAUAUUAAAAAAAUUGUAAUGAUGCAAGGAACAAAUAAAGGCAAGAGAAUUUGAAUCAAUUUUGUGUUGUAUUUAUUCGAUUGUAGCAAACUCCUUACAAAAAAAAAAAAAAAAAUGCACUUCUCCGCAACCCCUGCAGCCCCCACCAACGGGUUCACCUGACUCGGCUACACAGCAAGUACUACCUCAAGUCAUGCCCACUACCACUGCCAAGCAGCAAGAGUGCCCGAAGAAACCUGCAAAGUUCUCAAUACAAGCUACAAGUCCAAUGUAAAUUACAAGAUGAGUAAAAUACCUGUGAGAACCCUAUACCCAAGAUGGACGACAACCCACGCAAGAUCGCCAACCCUCUUCCCACUCUUUGCCAAGGAUAGGGAUUAUAUUUAUAAUAAUUAAAUGAUUAGUAUUGAAGAACUUCCAAAUAUGAAUGACUUUCAAAUUAGAUUAAAUUUAGCAUUACUAAAGUUACUAAAUAAUUAUUUAAAUGAAUUAACAUUUUAUUAAAUUAACAUUAUUGGUAUAGAUUGGCUGCUUAAAAAUUAAUUUGUUAGA